UGGGGUGUCGCCAAGCGGUAAGGCACUGGUUUUUGAUACCAGCAUUCAUAGGUUCGAAUCCUUUCACCCCAACCA
rnacentral:tRNA from 1 species